CUCACAAACAGCAAGAAGACUACUUUCCGCCUUGGUACUGGAUGUAAAUCGUCUUAAAUGAACCCAAUUACUCGAGAGAAGACUGUUUUUUCAGGCUUUGACCUGAAGGGCGAGUGUUUGUGCAAGGAAGAGCAAAGAAGAGGACCAAAACAAGAAAAGACAGAAACAGAGAGCCAAUACUUUGAUAUCCAGCGAGGAGUUUUAAAGUCAACAUGGUCAACAACAUCCUUCAAGAGUUCAGAAACGAAAUCUACAACAGCCGGGCAAACGCCAUCUGCUGAUCGUGUGAUACGAUCAUCGCUCCAGAACAGCUGUUGAAUGGACCUUGUGAUCUAACAAGGAGCUCUCACGUACCAAACUUUCUGCUCCGGUGCGUCUUUGGUGCCACGAACAACCGGCUGACGAGGAACUGGAGCGGCGAGUUUGUCUACAGAUUCUGGUCCAGCCAGCGGAUGUAGUUGUUCAUGCUCCGCUGUCCGACGCUAGACUUCAUCGGCAGGUACGCGAACACCAUGCAGCCAUGAAAACCGUCCUCGUAGUGAUCGCUGGUCACCGCGACGCCGGCGCUCUGCAGGCGUCUGACGUACAUCAACCCGUCGUCCCUCAGCACGUCAAACUCACAAGUCAUCACGUAGGCUUUCGGCGUCCUACCCAGAACUCCCUGUUCCGCCAGCAGCGGGGCCGCCCUCACGUCCAAAAGCUGCGGUACCUUACCCAUCACCCCCGGCGAUCCCGUCUCUUUCACAACCGGACGAAAGUGCUUCCUGCGUUCGGCCGGGAGCAAAGCGGUCCAGUCCAGCUUGGAGCGGGUGCUUCCGCUGAUGGCCGGCUGGUCCAGGGAGCUGUGGUUGUUGGCGAGCAGGAGGGGCUCCAGGGACAUGUCGGCGCCCAGGUACUGCAGCCAGAAACGAGCCAUGACGGGCCUGUGGAGGAUGGGCACGGCCCGGUUCUGCUGGUAGGACGGGGUGUAGAAGUCGAGCGCCUGCAGCACCGGGUAGAUCAACGCCUGGACCUUAAACUUCACUGUCAGACCGUCAUCUGAGCCGAGCUGUGGACACAGUCAGGUUUGAGAUUCAGCAGAUAUGAGUUCUUCUGAGGGGCAGUCUCAACUUCAAUAGUUAGUUUUAAACUGAAAGAGCUGAUUGCUGAUCACUUUGGGUCAAUCAUUUCCGCAUCUUUUAAAUUCUUAUGGUUUGUUUUUUAUUAGACAAGUUGGUGACGCUCGGUGUUCCUCUUGGCAAAUUAAUCUCAGUGUCCUUUUAGAUCGACGAAGGGAGGGUAGCAAAGUAAAAAGCCUAAGUAAAACAUGUUUAAAAUUCCACACAUGGAAUGCCUUUUAUCUUCUUUCUUCCAAUCAUUCAGAGUUUCACCCCUAACUGUCAUGUUGUCAGAGUCUAAAAAGCCUCUCAAGCAUAAUGUUUCUCUAAAAUUCCUAACUGAAACCCAAACUAAUGGCAUUCUUGGAGUGCUAGAAACUGAACUAGCCCACAUUUUGACCACGAGGCUUGACCAAACAGAUCAGCUGUUUCUCUCUGGUUAAGACAGGAUCACUACCAGCAGAUCCUAGCUCCGUUUUUUGCCUCGCUUCGCUGCAUUUGGCGCUUGAUGAGCUCUCCACUAGAAGAUAUCAAUUACCCUUCAAUGAUUGCUGACAAGCAAAGAAAACAGACUACAGCCUCCUACAACCGCGAUGGCUGCACCUGUUUGGACGAAUGCUUCACUCGCGGGCUGUCUACUCCCGGAUUUCAAAACAAGACCAACAUGGCGGCUCAUUUGAAAAGCUUGAGCUUAUUUUACAAAAAGAAAGGGAAAAUGUGUUUCGGAAAA